GGGUUGUGAGGUUAAGCGACUAAGCGUACACGGUGGAUGCCCUGGCAGUCAGAGGCGAUGAAGGACGUGCUAAUCUGCGAUAAGCGUCGGUGAGGUGAUAUGAACCGUUAUAACCGGCGAUUUCCGAAUGGGGAAACCCAGUGUGUUUCGACACACUAUCAUUAACUGAAUCCAUAGGUUAAUGAGGCGAACCGGGGGAACUGAAACAUCUAAGUACCCCGAGGAAAAGAAAUCAACCGAGAUUCCCCCAGUAGCGGCGAGCGAACGGGGAGGAGCCCAGAGCCUGAAUCAGUGUGUGUGUUAGUGGAAGCGUCUGGAAAGGCGCGCGAUACAGGGUGACAGCCCCGUACACAAAAAUGCACAUAUUGUGAGCUCGAUGAGUAGGGCGGGACACGUGGUAUCCUGUCUGAAUAUGGGGGGACCAUCCUCCAAGGCUAAAUACUCCUGACUGACCGAUAGUGAACCAGUACCGUGAGGGAAAGGCGAAAAGAACCCCGGCGAGGGGAGUGAAAAAGAACCUGAAACCGUGUACGUACAAGCAGUGGGAGCCUCUUAAUGGGGUGACUGCGUACCUUUUGUAUAAUGGGUCAGCGACUUAUAUUCUGUAGCAAGGUUAACCGAAUAGGGGAGCCGAAGGGAAACCGAGUCUUAACUGGGCGUUAAGUUGCAGGGUAUAGACCCGAAACCCGGUGAUCUAGCCAUGGGCAGGUUGAAGGUUGGGUAACACUAACUGGAGGACCGAACCGACUAAUGUUGAAAAAUUAGCGGAUGACUUGUGGCUGGGGGUGAAAGGCCAAUCAAACCGGGAGAUAGCUGGUUCUCCCCGAAAGCUAUUUAGGUAGCGCCUCGUGAAUUCAUCUCCGGGGGUAGAGCACUGUUUCGGCAAGGGGGUCAUCCCGACUUACCAACCCGAUGCAAACUGCGAAUACCGGAGAAUGUUAUCACGGGAGACACACGGCGGGUGCUAACGUCCGUCGUGAAGAGGGAAACAACCCAGACCGCCAGCUAAGGUCCCAAAGUCAUGGUUAAGUGGGAAACGAUGUGGGAAGGCCCAGACAGCCAGGAUGUUGGCUUAGAAGCAGCCAUCAUUUAAAGAAAGCGUAAUAGCUCACUGGUCGAGUCGGCCUGCGCGGAAGAUGUAACGGGGCUAAACCAUGCACCGAAGCUGCGGCAGCGACACUAUGUGUUGUUGGGUAGGGGAGCGUUCUGUAAGCCUGUGAAGGUGGCCUGUGAGGGUUGCUGGAGGUAUCAGAAGUGCGAAUGCUGACAUAAGUAACGAUAAAGCGGGUGAAAAGCCCGCUCGCCGGAAGACCAAGGGUUCCUGUCCAACGUUAAUCGGGGCAGGGUGAGUCGACCCCUAAGGCGAGGCCGAAAGGCGUAGUCGAUGGGAAACAGGUUAAUAUUCCUGUACUUGGUGUUACUGCGAAGGGGGGACGGAGAAGGCUAUGUUGGCCGGGCGACGGUUGUCCCGGUUUAAGCGUGUAGGCUGGUUUUCCAGGCAAAUCCGGAAAAUCAAGGCUGAGGCGUGAUGACGAGGCACUACGGUGCUGAAGCGACAAAUGCCCUGCUUCCAGGAAAAGCCUCUAAGCAUCAGGUAACAUCAAAUCGUACCCCAAACCGACACAGGUGGUCAGGUAGAGAAUACCAAGGCGCUUGAGAGAACUCGGGUGAA
rnacentral:rRNA from 1 species